rnacentral:rRNA from 1 species
AUCAACGCUGGCGGCGUGCCUCAGACAUGCAAGUCGAACGAUUAAAGCUCCCUUCGGGAGUGUAUAGAGUGGCGCACGGGUGAGUAACACGUAAGUAAUCUGCCUUUGAGUGGGAAUAACAGUCGGAAACGGCUGCUAAUACCGCAUAACGCAGCGGCAACCGCAAGGGUGACAGUUGUUAAAGGAGCAAUCCGCUUAAAGAGGAGCUUGCGGCAGAUUAGCUGUUGGUAAGGUAACGGCUUACCAAGGCUACGAUCUGUAUCCGGUCUAAGAGGACGGUCGGACACACUGACACUGAAUAACGGGUCAGACUCCUACGGGA